rnacentral:rRNA from 1 species
CACGUAGGGAGCAAGCGUUGUCCGGAUUUAUUGGGCGUAAAGAGCUCGUAGGCGGCUCAGUAAGUCAGGUGUGAAACCUCCAGGCUCAACCUGGAGACGCCACCUGAUACUGCUGUGGCUAGAGUCCGGUAGGGGAGCGUGGAAUUCCUGGUGUAGCGGUGAAAUGCGCAGAUAUCAGGAGGAACACCAGCGGCGAAGGCGGCGCUCUGGGCCGGAACUGACGCUGAGGAGCGAAAGCGUGGGGAGCGAACAGG